GACGGAGGGGGCUAGCGUUGUUCGGAAUUACUGGGCGUAAAGCGCACGUAGGCGGCCUUUCAAGUCGGACGUGAAAGCCCCGGGCUUAACCCGGGAAUUGCGUUUGAUACUGUUGGGCUUGAGACCGGGAGAGGAUAGCGGAAUUCCCAGUGUAGAGGUGAAAUUCGUAGAUAUUGGGAAGAACACCAGUGGCGAAGGCGGCUAUCUGGACCGGUACUGACGCUGAGGUGCGAAAGCGUGGGGAGCAAACAGG
rnacentral:rRNA from 1 species